rnacentral:piRNA from 1 species
GUUUGGGAUUGAGGGAUGACAGCCA